GGCGAACGGGUGAGUAAUGCAUCGGAACGUGCCCAGUCGUGGGGGAUAACGCAGCGAAAGCUGUGCUAAUACCGCAUACGAUCUAUGGAUGAAAGCGGGGGACCUUCGGGCCUCGCGCGAUUGGAACGGCCGAUGUUAGAUUAGGUAGUUGGUGGGGUAAAGGCUCACCAAGCCGACGAUCUAUAGCUGGUCUGAGAGGACGACCAGCCACACUGGAACUGAGACACGGUCCAGACUCCUACGGGAGGCAGCAGUGGGGAAUUUUGGACAAUGGGCGAAAGCCUGAUCCAGCAAUACCGCGUGCAGGAAGAAGGCCCUCGGGUUGUAAACUGCUUUUGUACGGAACGAAACGGCGCGCUCUAAUAAAGUGCGCUAAUGACGGUACCGUAAGAAUAAGCACCGGCUAACUACGUGCCAGCAGCCGCGGUAAUACGUAGGGUGCAAGCGUUAAUCGGAAUUACUGGGCGUAAAGCGUGCGCAGGCGGUUUUGUAAGACAGGCGUGAAAUCCCCGGGCUUAACCUGGGAAUUGCGCUUGUGACUGCAAGGCUAGAGUACGGUAGAGGGGGGUAGAAUUCCGCGUGUAGCAGUGAAAUGCGUAGAUAUGCGGAGGAACACCGAUGGC
rnacentral:rRNA from 1 species